rnacentral:rRNA from 1 species
GACGAACGCUGGCGGCGUGCCUAAUACAUGCAAGUAGAACGCUGAAGGAGGAGCUUGCUCUUCUGGAUGAGUUGCGAACGGGUGAGUAACGCGUAGGUAACCUGCCUGGUAGCGGGGGAUAACUAUUGGAAACGAUAGCUAAUACCGCAUAAGAGUAGAUGUUGCAUGACAUUUGCUUAAAAGGUGCAAUUGCAUCACUACCAGAUGGACCUGCGUUGUAUUAGCUAGUUGGUGGGGUAACGGCUCACCAAGGCGACGAUACAUAGCCGACCUGGGAGGGUGAUCGGCCACACUGGGACUGAGACACGGCCCAGACUCCUACGGGAGGCAGCAGUAGGGAAUCUUCGGCAAUGGACGGAAGUCUGACCGAGCAACGCCGCGGGAGUGAAGAAGGUUUUCGGAUCGUAAAGCUCUGUUGUAAGAGAAGAACGAGUGUGAGAGUGGAAAGUUCACACUGUGACGGUAUCUUACCAGAAAGGGACGGCUAACUACGUG